rnacentral:rRNA from 1 species
GACGAACGCUGGCGGCGUGCUUAACACAUGCAAGUCGAACGGAAAGGCCCUGCUUGCAGGGUGCUCGAGUGGCGAACGGGUGAGUAACACGUGGGUGAUCUGCCCCUUACUUUGGGAUAAGCCUGGGAAACUGGGUCUAAUACUGGAUAGGACCAUGCUGUAGGUGGUGUGGUGGAAAGAUUAGUUUCGGUAAGGGAUGAGCUCGCGGCCUAUCAGCUUGUUGGUGGGGUAAUGGCCUACCAAGGCGUCGACGGGUAGCCGGCCUGAGAGGGUGGACGGCCACAUUGGGACUGAGAGACGGCCCAGACUCCUACGGGAGGCAGCAGAGGGGAAUAUUGCACAAUGGGCGCAAGCCUGAUGCAGCGACGCCGCGUGGGGGAUGACGGCCUUCGGGUUGUAAACUCCUUUCAGCCAUGACGAAGCCCUUGUGGUGACGGUAGUGGUAGAAGAAGCACCGGCUAACUACGUG